rnacentral:rRNA from 1 species
UAGCAAUACCGAAGAAAGUCUAGUGGCGAACGGGUGCGUAACACGUGGGCAAUCUGCCUUAAAGUGGGGAUAGCUCGGCGAAAGCCGGAUUAAUACCGCAUGUGAUUACCGGAGACAUCUUCGGAACAUCAAAGUCGGGGCAACCUGACGCUUUUUGAGGAGCCCGCGGCCUAUCAGCUAGUUGGUGAGGUAACGGCUCACCAAGGCUUUGACGGGUAGCUGGUCUGAGAGGACGACCAGUCACACUGGAACUGAGACACGGUCCAGACACCUACGGGUGGCAGCAGUCGAGAAUUUUUCUCAAUGGGGGAAACCCUGAAGGAGCGACGCCGCGUGGAGGAUGAAGGUCUUCGGGUUGUAAACUCCUGUCAUUUGGGAACAAUGCUUACGUAUUAACUGUACGUGAGUUGAUAGUACCAGAAGAGGAAGAGACGGCUAACUCUGUGCCAGCAGCCGCGGUAAUACAGAGGUCUCAAGCGUUGUUCGGAUUCAUUGGGCGUAAAGGGUGUGUAGGUGGCGCGCUAAGUCGGGUGUGAAAUUUCGGAGCUUAACUCCGAAACUGCAUUCGAUACUGGCGUGCUUGAGGACUGGAGAGGAGACUGGAAUUCACGGUGUAGCA